UGGGGAAUAUUGCACAAUGGGCGCAAGCCUGAUGCAGCCAUGCCGCGUGUGUGAAGAAGGCCUCGGGUUGUAAAGCACUUUCAGCGAGGAGGAAGGUGGUGGACUUAAUACGUUCAUCAAUUGACGUUACUCGCAGAAGAAGCACCGGCUAACUCCGUGCCAGCAGCCGCGGUAAUACGGAGGGUGCAAGCGUUAAUCGGAAUUACUGGGCGUAAAGCGCACGCAGGCGGUUUGUUAAGUCAGAUGUGAAAUCCCCGGGCUCAACCUGGGAACUGCAUUUGAAACUGGCAAGCUAGAGUCUCGUAGAGGGGGGUAGAAAUUCCAGGUGUAGCGGUGAAAUGCGUAGAGAUCUGGAGGAAUACCGGUGGCGAAGGCGGCCCCCCUGGACGAAGACUGACGCUCAGGUGCGAAAAGGCGUGGGGG
rnacentral:rRNA from 1 species